GUACUUACGGGAGGCAGCAGUGGAGAAUAUUGGGCAAUGGGCGCAAGCCUGACCCAGCAAUGCCGCGUGAAGGAAGAAGGCCCUCGGGUUGUAAACUUCUUUUAUCAGGGACGAAGGAUGUGACGGUACCUGAUGAAUAAGCUCCGGCUAACUACGUGCCAGCAGCCGCGGUAAUACGUAGGGAGCAAGCGUUAUCCGGAUUUAUUGGGUGUAAAGGGCGUGUAGGCGGGAGCGCAAGUCAGAUGUGAAAACUCAGGGCUCAACCCUGAGCCUGCAUUUGAAACUGUGUUUCUUGAGUGCUGGAG
rnacentral:rRNA from 1 species